GACGAACGCUGGCGGCGUGCUUAACACAUGCAAGUCGAACGGAAAGGCCCUGCUUUUGCGGGGUGCUCGAGUGGGGAACGGGAGAGUAACCUGUGAGUAACCUGCCCUUGACUUUGGGAUAACUUCAGGAAACUGGGGCUACUACCGGAUAGGUGCUCCUGAUGCGGGGUGGGGGUUGGAAAGUUUGGGCGGUUGGGGGUGGACUCCGGGCUUAUCAGCUUGUUGGUGGGGUAGUGGCUUACCAAGGAUGUGGCGGGUGGCCGGCCUGGGAGGGUGACCGGCCACAUUAGGACUGAGAUACGGCCCAGACUCGAACGGUAGGCAGCGGGGGGGAGGAUUGCACAAUGGGCUGAAGCCUGAUGCGGCAACGCCGCGUGCGGUAAGACGGCCAUCGGGUUGGAAACCGCAGUCGCCUGAGACGAAGCGUUAGUGACGGUAAUGGGAAAAGAAGCACCGGCUAACUACGUG
rnacentral:rRNA from 1 species